UCUCCAUUCUGGAGUCAUGAAGACCUACUAUAGUUACCAUGACCCUGUAUACUGUGUAUUGUCCUGUGAUGAUUCAUGAUCUAGAUCUUUGACUACAAGCUGAGACACUCAGGACUGAACAGACUGCACAGUUUCUGUGACCGAGCCUCCAAAACAUCUUCUUUGAAACCACACAUGAUAGAAGGGCUUUAUAUUUGCAGCAGCACUACUAAAGUUGGCAGGAAUGUUGCUGCAGGAAAACAUCC